rnacentral:misc_RNA from 1 species
GAAAUGCGAUAACUAGUGUGAAUUGCAGAAUUCCGUGAAUCAUCGAGUCUUUGAACGCACAUUGCGCCCCCUGGUAUUCCGGGGGGCAUGCCUGUCCGAGCGUCAUUGCUGCCCAUCAAGCUCGGCUUGUGUGUUGGGUCGUCGUCCCCUCUCCGGGGGGGACGGGCCCCAAAGGCAGCGGCGGCACCGCGUCCGAUCCUCGAGCGUAUGGGGCUUUGUCACCCGCUCUGUAGGCCCGGCCGGCGCUUGCCGAACGCAAAUCAAUCUUUUUCCAGGUUGACCUCGGAUCAGGUAGGGAUACCCGCUGAACUUAAGC